rnacentral:rRNA from 1 species
AGCAGCCGCGGUAAUUCCAGCUCCAAUAGCGUAUAUUAAAGUUGUUGCAGUUAAAAAGCUCGUAGUUGAAUUUCGGGAUCAAUUUAUCGGUCGUGCCAAUGGUAUGAACUGGUACAAUUGGUUUCUCCCUUCUGACGAAGCAUGAUGUCAUUAAUUUGGUGUCGUGGGGAAUCAGGACUGUUACUUUGAAAAAUUAGAGUGUUUAAAGCAAGCAUUAGCUUGAAUACAUUAGCAUGGAAUAAUGAAAUAGGACGUUUGAUCCUAUUUCGUUGGUUCUAGGAUCGACGUAAUGAUUAAUAGGGAUAGUUGGGGGCAUUAGUAUUCAAUUGUCAGAGGUGAAAUUCUUGGAUUUAUUGAAGACUAACUACUGCGAAAGCAUUUGCCAAGGAUGUUUUCAUUAAUCAAGAACGAAAGUUAGGGGAUCGAAGACGAUCAGAUACCGUCGUAGUCUUAACCAUAAAACUAUGCCGACUAGGGAUCGGAUGAUGUUAAUUUUAAUGACUCAUUC